AUACGGAGGGGGUUAGCGUUGUUCGGAAUUACUGGGCGUAAAGCGUACGUAGGCGGAUUAGUAAGUUAGGGGUGAAAUCCCGAGGCUCAACCUCGGAACUGCCCCUAAAACUGCUAGUCUUGAGUUCGAGAGAGGUGAGUGGAAUUCCUAGUGUAGAGGUGAAAUUCGUAGAUAUUAGGAGGAACACCAGUGGCGAAGGCGGCUCACUGGCUCGAUACUGACGCUGAGGUACGAAAGUGUGGGGAGCAAACAGAAUUAGAAACCCCAGUAGUCC
rnacentral:rRNA from 1 species